rnacentral:rRNA from 1 species
GUGCCAGCCGCCGCGGUAAUACGUAGGGGGCAAGCGUUGUCCGGAAUUAUUGGGCGUAAAGGGUGCGUAGGCGGCCUUUCAAGUUGGAUGUGAAAUCUCCGUGCUUAACAUGGAAAUUGCAUUCAAAACUGGAGGGCUUGAGUGUGGAAGAGGUAAGUGGAAUUCCCAGUGUAGCGGUGAAAUGCGUAGAUAUUGGGAGGAACACCAGUGGCGAAGGCGACUUACUGGGCCACAACUGACGCUGAUGCACGAAAGCGUGGGGAGCAAACAGGAUUAGAUACCCUGGUAGUCCACGCUGUAAACGAUGGAUACUAGGUGUAGGAGGUAACACCCCUCCUGUGCCGCAGCUAACGCAUUAAGUAUCCCGCCUGGGGAGUACGGUCGCAAGAUUGAA